rnacentral:rRNA from 1 species
UACGAAGGGGGCGAGCGUUGUUCGGAUUUACUGGGCGUAAAGGGCGCGCAGGCGGCGCAUUUUGUCAGGCGUGAAAGCCCCGGGCUUAACCUGGGAACUGCGUUUGAUACGGAUGGGCUAGAGUUCGGGAGAGGAGAGUGGAAUUCCCAGUGUAGAGGUGAAAUUCGUAGAUAUUGGGAAGAACACCGGUGGCGAAGGCGGCUCUCUGGGCCUGUACUGACGCUGAGGAGCGAAAGCGUGGGGAGCGAACAGG